ensembl:lncRNA
AUCUUGUUCUGGGGGUUCCUUCUCUGUGGAGUCUUUUCUCUGAACCUAGAUUUUUUUUUGGAUGUGAGUGAGUAUUCCUUCCCUGUUUGUUUCUUUUUCUAUUUUCACCACAAUAAUCUUUCCAGCUGUAGCACCAACUGUAACAGCUUCCAAUUAUCCUAUUGGACUACUGUGCAACACAAAAUCAUCAAGAGAAGGAUGUUACGAGGGACCAUGUCGAAGGCCUUACUGAAGCCCAGAUGGAUGACAUCAGUGACUCCUCCCUUGUUUACUGAUGACAUUGAUGAUGACAUUGUAAAAAGCAGAAUGAUUGGUCAUGCAUGGUAUUUUUUCAAUAAUAAUUUCAGUGAACUUCAGAAGAAAUGAAUUUUUGAAUUCUUUUCUGAAGUGCAGUCAUGCUGUUUCAUGAUCACUUAAAAUUUUAUGGAAUUAUAUGAAUAUUUUUCCAUGUAUAGAGAUUUAAUCUUUUCUCUAUUCAGAUACAAACUACCAAAAAAAACCAAAAAACAAACAAAGAAAAAAACCCACCCAUGUCUGUUGCUAAUGUUUUAUUACUAAAACAUGGAAAUAGUAUCUUUGUUAAUAUCUUUGUUAAUAUCUAAGUUAAUAUCCUUGGAAUAAAUAAAUUCAGGUAUUGUACACAUAGCAUCUUUUCCACAUUCCGACUUUGAAAGCUGGUUAGUCUUUUCACUAGAAAAAAGAGCACAGGAAUAAGCAUGGAAUCUCAACAAGUCAUCUUUAUCAACCUCCAGCCCAAAAAAGAGCCAGCUCCAAAAUUAAAUCAAUUAUGUAUAAUGACCUUUGAAAAUUCUCCUGGGUAGAUGUUUUUGCAGCCUCUUUUUGCAUCCCCUCUGAUGUUUAACCUCCAUCACUUUGAAGAAUUCUGUUCUACUGGAGUAUCUUCUUUUUUUUUUUUUUUCCUGGCAAAAUUCAUUUGCUAUUUUUAAUGGAGGUGAAUCACUUGAUCAACAUUAUCUUCUUUAUAUUCCUGAACUUUCUCACAUGGAAAGCUUGUGAAGAAGUUACAAUGAUGUCUGGCAAUGAGUACAAAUGUAGAAAAAGUCUUUUAAAUGUGUAUCUUGCCUGCUGCUCCACACUGACCUGAUAGAAGUUUUGAAUAUUUGCUAGGGAUAGUAACUGCAAUUAAUCUCAUUUUAAUUAGGUUUGUUUUUGGAAAGACCUUUCUGACUUUGACAGACUUCCACUCAAAAUUGCAUGAAGUGAAGUUACUCUUAUCAUAAACAACACUUGCAGCACUUUCUGUUCUGCAGCUGCUGAUGCAACUCAGACAUUGUCCUGUAACAACUUUAAGUGAUGUGAAUUCCUUUUGGAGAUGCUGUGUUGUAUGCAGGAGAUGUUGUUCGUUGUUUGUGCAGAAUGAACUUGGAUCACAUUCAUUUUAUUCUUCUCAGUGAGCAGCAGCCAGGGAAAGCAGAGAGAGAAAGGAGAGGCUGCUUGUCUAUUCCUGCUUUU